UACGUAGGGCGCGAGCGUUGUCCGGAAUCAUUGGGCGUAAAGCGCGUGUAGGCGGCCCGAUAAGUCCGCUGUGAAAGUCCAGGGCUCAACCCUGGGAUGCCGGUGGAUACUGUCGGGCUCGAGUCCGGAAGAGGCGAGUGGAAUUCCCGGUGUAGCGGUGAAAUGCGCAGAUAUCGGGAAGAACACCCGUGGCGAAGGCGGCUCUCUGGGACGGUACUGACGCUGAGACGCGAAAGCGUGGGGAGCGAACAGG
rnacentral:rRNA from 1 species